rnacentral:misc_RNA from 1 species
UCUAGCUUGUCGUCAUAGCGUAUGCUAGUCUACUGUGAUCUUGAGAAACUCUCCAUUAGCUACUUGGUGUUAGACAUUGGUGUUAGACCUGUCUGGCAGUCUGUCCAGACGGCAUAGCCAAUGAUCGGGUACAUCUUUUAAAGGACUCAUCACCCAUUUACACCGGCCCAUACACCCCAGAAAGAACCUUUGACGUCGAAUACAUCUGGCGCCCUGCUCCAGGUACUCCCUUUCAUCGACCUCGAGCCACCUUCUCCGGCGAAGUCGGAUGGCAUUCAUGGUUCUUUCUAGACACAGAACCCUUUAAAACCGGUCACCAAGUCCAUUUGGCUGAAUUUAGAAGACAGGUGGAAGAAAGGUGCACGAACCUCUACCAACCAGUUUGGAAACCAAAGCGAGGUGCAAACAUCCUGAAAAGCAGCUACGGACCGAAAGCACAGAAUAAAUCCAAAGCGAAAGAUCAAAGUCCCGCCUUCGAGAACAAAGCAUCACAACAAACUACACCGAGAUCUGCAGUCAUCUCUCCACUCUUCAACAGUGCUGCCUCUCCAGCCUCCGGCUUCUCUUCGAAGUCCAGGGCAUCGCACAAGAAGUCAGACGAAGCAGCGACCCCUCGCAGCGUGCAUGCAACAACUCCACAGCCGAUUUCGUCUAACGACCAAAACGUCAACAGAGGCGUCUCUGGCCUGUUAGAGACCCUCCAGGGCAUCGACGACCCCUCCUCUAACGUCGGACUCGUCAGCGUGGAAGCACUGCCCUGCAUCUCGAGGACCAGCCACUUAAGCUUCAGUUCAGCCGGCUCAAGACGAUCGCAAGGCUCGCAACCAAUUUUGCCCAGGAGCCAGGCGAGCAGCAUCGCUGAUUAUUACCCCGUCAGAGUACCUCGCAGACUUAACAGCGCCUUGGAACUCGGGAGAAAGGAAAGCUCCGGAAAUAGGGUCACCAGAUCGCAGUCUGUCGACCAAAAACGUUACAAGUAACUGCCAAUUUCACAAAGACUCCAAAAGAAAGGACAUUUAUCACUGAUCUCAACAGUCAUCUGGUUCUUUAGACUUCCCUUACCUCCACGUAGAAUUUCUAUUUUACUCUGUACUUAGAAACUCUCAGGUUUGGUUUUUUUUUCAUCGUUAAAGAAAAAUAUUAGUUACCUAGAAUACGUAACAAAAGCUAGUCUGCAAAAUUGCGAGUUAAGAUGUGUAUUAGCAUUUGUAAACUGUAACGGACGUGUCAGAAAACUCAAAAGGGCCAGGGUUGUGCCCUGAUUUGAAUCAGCUAACCGAGCUACAGAAAGUUUUUUUGUAAAACCCCAGCAAGCCAAAAGUUUUGAGAUAUCCCUUACGGCGUUUUUACCGAACUCUUCCGAAUCCGAGAUAACAAACUGUCCUGCUGCAAGUUAUACGGUGAUGGAGAUUUCAACCCUCACCUGUUUUAUUUGCGUAAAAGUGAGAAGAUAAACUUUGCGUCGUCACAGUCUGGAAAGUACCUAAUCCUCGCUUUCCAUAGUGACAAAGGAGUUUUACAUCUCCUGCUGGUCUUUCUUGCUUGGCUCAGGCUGAAUUGGAUCUUCCAUGUCCCCAUCCCCAACCCCCGCCCCAUUUUUUUUUUUUUUAAUCCGAAGGACCUAAUUGCUGUUUCCUUGAUAAAUUUAACCUGCUGAAUCUGAGUUUUAACAUUGAAACAGGUUCUGGAGUGUCAAGCAAUUUCAGAAGAGGUAGUCAUUAAGGUAGAGCCAAUCUGAACUCCAGUAGUCACAGAGAGAAAUUUAAGAGAAACGUCCGUUCUUGGUUUCUAGUGUCACAUUAGUCACUGGUAACCCACGAUAAGUUAACGACUUCGUUGCUAUGAGGAUCGUGGGGCAGCACGUCUUGGAGCAUAUUAUUCGGCUGAAGCUGUUGAGAAAACAGAACCCAAGCAAGAGCGAGCUUGAAAACAAAAUUUCUUCAAAAUGCAUCGAAGAAAAAGGACCUCCGGGAGAUGAAGAGAAGCCUCAAAAAAAGACCCACUACCUAAGUAUCUCCCCGCGUUUCGAUUUUCAAACGCCAGUCCAGUUGGAGAUUGGAAAGCCCCCCAAAAAAUCCCUAAUUUAUAAAACAAUCACAACUAUCGAUUAAUUCAUUUGAUAACUUUAAAAAUAGUAAAAUAAACAAACAGCAAGAAAGUAAGUCAAAUCAGUUGCCGUCCUUAUCUGCUGCCACCCGCUGUACGUACCUGUAAGGUCUCCGGUUGAUGAUGAAGAUGGCAGAAGCAAAUGCGACGUUCAAUGCAAACUGGAACAAUGCAGACCUUAGUCCUUACAGUAUGAGGCGUCCAGGGAUGCUGACAUAUCGGAGUGGUUCGGUUCUGCAGCUGUGCAUCUAUCUCAGAAGCAAGCUGGGAGAGCUCUUCAGAACGAUAAACCAAUCGCUGAGCUCGAUGGCAUGGGUCUCUUCUGUACGCCUUCUUUUUUCCACUAUCCGAGAGCACACCCCUGGGAUCUGGACGACCGCCGCCAGACCCACACUUCUAAACAGUGUGAGUCCGACUGGCUGGAACGCAACGAGGGAGGUCACUGCCGUGCCGCAGACGACAAUUAGGAGGCAUUUGCACGAGUGUGCCGCCAGGAGGGAUCGUUUAGUGACGCAUUGGCAAGGUCUGCGUACUCGGAUGUCCAGCGUCACUCUGCAGCUGCAGCGUGUCACGGCGUCUGGCAUCCAGGAUCAUGCAGCAACUUAUUUUGAGGGACCUGGUAAACUAUGUGAGACUGGUUGUGGCUUUUUCGCAUACUCUUCUCAUCUCGGGAUGGUCGUCCGUUUCGUCUCGGCUGAGGAUGGCCUACUGCUCAAGCCGCUUUCACCUUCGCCGCUGGGGCGAGGCGACUUCAGCCGUGAGAAGACGCCUGUGGUCCCGCACACUGGCCGCCAGCCCUUCCCGAGAGGACCUGGUGUGCACCUGUGCGGAGAUCAUUAAGAACGAGAAAGCAAACUUCAUUUUGGAGGACGUAGCCGUCUGGUUCUGCGACGCGCAGGACACGGCAGUCGUCAUCGCGUUCAUCUUCGUUUUCGUGAUCGUGGCGGAGAUGCUAACGUCGUCGUUGUUUCUGCCGUGCGUUCCUGCAUCCUUGCUGGCAAACCAUGAUUUGAUAUCAGCAGCCGUGUUAUCGGAUUCAGUUAUUUCUUCACUGCCUCAGGCAGUUAGCGGAGAUGUGGAUUGAUUUCCCAUGAACAAUGACAAAAAGGAUGCUGGGUAAAAGUACAAAAAGUUUGGACGGAACUGGAUAUUAAUACAGUGUCUCUGCCUUAUCAUUAGCUGUUCGUGCAGCAGCAGGUUAGUUUUUUUUUUGGAGGAAGAUCUCAAGGUAAAGGAAAACUUUGUCUCUUUAUGUCUUGAACCAUAACACUUCAGAUAAGGGAAUAUUCUGGGAAUCCAAGUGCUAUUAGGAUGAUCUUCCAUAUGGCCUAGCUAGAAUCCACAUUAGGAGUUGAUACACCCAGUGAAAGCAAUAUUUAGCUGUUCUUCUUGGAUAAAUUAGUAUAAAGAUUAUUUAUCUGCUCAUAUCAACUGAAAUGCUUGAGUGAUUUUCUCUAUGAGAGCAAGGGUUGUAACUGUCUUACUGAGAGGGUUUUACAGCUACUGCUUUGUAGUUAUCCAUCACUUACAUGGCACUCAAAAGGUUACUUGAUAAGCUAGUCAGAAAUCUGAACAUAUCAAUUACAUAAGAAAUUUUGUUUUCAUGUUUUUUGUUGUCUGCUCAUCUCCUUGGAUGUUGACGCUUAAAAAUCCCAUCUUCACUUUCAUUGGUGGUGCUCAAAAUAUCAGCAUUCUCUUUUGUAAUGCACAACUUGCACCCAUCCAAAUAAAAAUGUUUAGGUUUGAUCUCCAAAAUGACUAAAGACUGCACCAGCCUUAAUGUUGUAUCUUUAAGCCACUCUCCACAUUAAGUUUUUGUUUUUUAACUGUGGUUGAGCAAAAUACCAUUCCAUGGGACUUCACCGUCAUGUGUGCACAAUGAGCUUUGUGACUCUGUACAGUAUUUUGAAAGCAAGAUUACAAACUCAACAGUUUAGCCUUUCAUGUCUUUGAUAUGAAGCCUCCAUGAUCUCAUAUAUCUAUAUAUAUGAGCAGCAAAUAAAUUAUAAACAAAAUA